rnacentral:rRNA from 1 species
GACGAACGCUGGCGGCGUGCUUAACACAUGCAUGUCGAACGGAAAGGCCCUGCUUUUGUGGGGUGCUCGAGUGGCGAACGGGUGAGUAACACGUGAGUAACCUGCCCUUGACUUUGGGAUAACUUCAGGAAACUGGGGCUAAUACCGGAUAGGAGCUCCUGCUGCAUGGUGGGGGUUGGAAAGUUUCGGCGGUUGGGGAUGGACCCGCGGCUUAUCAGCUUGUUGGUGGGGUAGUGGCUUACCAAGGCUUUGACGGGUAGCCGGCCUGAGAGGGUGACCGGCCACAUUGGGACUGAGAUACGGCCCAGACUCCUACGGGAGGCAGCAGUGGGGAAUAUUGCACAAUGGGCGGAAGCCUGAUGCAGCAACGCCGCGUGCGGGAUGACGGCCUUCGGGUUGUAAACCGCUUUCGCCUGUGACGAAGCGUGAGUGACGGUAAUGGGUAAAGAAGCACCGGCUAACUACGUGCCAGCAGCCGCGGUGAUACGUAGGGUGCGAGCGUUGUCCGGAUUUAUUGGGCGUAAAGGGCUCGUAGGUGGUUGAUCGCGUCGGAAGUGUAAUCUUGGGGCUUAACCCUGAGCGUGCUUUCGAUACGGGUUGACUUGAGGAAGGUAGGGGAGAAUGGAAUUCCUGGUGGAGCGGUGGAAUGCGCAGAUAUCAGGAGGAACACCAGUGGCGAAGGCGGUUCUCUGGGCCUUUCCUGACGCUGAGGAGCGAAAGCGUGGGGAGCGAACAGGCUUAGAUACCCUGGUAGUCCACGCUGUAAACGGUGGGUACUAGGUGUGGGGUCCAUUCCACGGGUUCCGUGCCGUAGCUAACGCUUUAAGUACCCCGCCUGGGGAGUACGGCUGCAAGGCUAAAACUCAAAGGAAUUGACGGGGCCCCGCACAAGCGGCGGAGCAUGCGGAUUAAUUCGAUGCAACGCGUAGAACCUUACCUGGGUUUGACAUGGAUCGGGAGUGCUCAGAGAUGGGUGUGCCUCUUUUGGGGUCGGUUCACAGGUGGUGCAUGGCUGUCGUCAGCUCGUGUCGUGAGAUGUUGGGUUAAGUCCCGCAACGAGCGCAACCCUUGUUCACUGUUGCCAGCACGUUAUGGUGGGGACUCAGUGGAGACCGCCGGGGUCAACUCGGAGGAAGGUGGGGAUGACGUCAAGUCAUCAUGCCCCUUAUGUCCAGGGCUUCACGCAUGCUACAAUGGCUGGUACAGAGAGUGGCGAGCCUGUGAGGGUGAGCGAAUCUCGGAAAGCCGGUCUCAGUUCGGAUUGGGGUCUGCAACUCGACCUCAUGAAGUCGGAGUCGCUAGUAAUCGCAGAUCAGCAACGCUGCGGUGAAUAAAUUCCCGGG